rnacentral:rRNA from 1 species
AUUGAACGCUGGCGGCAUGCUUUACACAUGCAAGUCGAACGGUAACAGGCCUUCGGGUGCUGACGAGUGGCGGACGGGCGAGUAAUGCAUCGGAACGUGCCCAGAGUUGGGGGCUAACGCAGCGAAAGCUGUGCUAAUACCGCAUGUGAUCUGAGGGUGAAAGCGGGGGACCAGGCAGCAAGGUUUGGCCUCGCGCCUUUGGAGCGGCCGAUGGCCGAUUGGGUUGUUGGCGGGGUAAAGGCCCACCAAGCCGACGAUCGGUAGCCGGUCUGAGAGGACGACCGGCCACACUGGGACUGAGACACGGCCCAGACUCCUACGGGAGGCAGCAGUGGGGAAUUUUGGACAAUGGGCGCAAGCCUGAUCCAGCAAUGCCGCGUGCGGGAAGAAGGCCUUCGGGUUGUAAACCGCUUUUGUACGGAACGAAAAGUCUCUGGCUAAUACCUGGGGCUGAUGACGGUACCGUAAGAAUAAGCACCGGCUAACUACGUG